GGGCGAGGCUGGGAGUGGAAAGAUG
rnacentral:piRNA from 1 species